GACGAACUGUGCAAACGUUAUUCGGAAUCACUGGGUUUAAAGGGUGCGUAGGUGGCGCGUUAAGUCCGUUGUGAAAUCCCUGGGCUCAACCCAGGAAAUGCUUCGGAUACUGGCGUGCUUGAGGCUAGUAGGGGUCACUGGAACUGACGGUGGAGCGGUGAAAUGCGUAGAUAUCGUCAGGAACGCCAAUGGUGAAGACAGGUGACUGGGCUAGAUCUGACACUGAGGCACGAAAGCGUGGGGAGCGAACGGG
rnacentral:rRNA from 1 species